CAAACAUUUGCUUAGAGAAGAAAAAAGCAAGGCUCAGAUCCUACACAGCUUGUACUCAUUAAGCAAAAAGGUGAGGACCUCGGCCGAAGAAAAUGUAGUUCACAAAUGCAUACUCGAGCAGAGCCAAGAAUACAAAGACGAAGCAGCCCAUCAGGUCUGACAAGACAGCGGCCCUAGAACAUUACUGCAAAACACAAACCAAUUUACAACUGUCCAUCAGACACUGGGAGAGACAGAGAACCAGGCAAAUAGAAAAACCCAACAGAGUUCCAGUUCUAGUGCUUAGUUAUGCACCAGCAGUGUCUCAGACACACAGAGUCCCCACUAUACGAUCACAGCAAACCACCACACAAGGGUGCAGUUCUGCUCAUCCAGUGGGUAUCUCCGCAGGUCCAUCAUGCAGGCUGCUGUUGUAGUUAUCCUAGUCAAAUACCCACCAACCCAUCCAAACACAAGUUACAACCACACAAGUUACAACCACACAAGUAGUAGCAUCCAAGGACGAUCAAUUACAAG